rnacentral:sRNA from 1 species
GCAGACAGGGUGCCCACACAGGGCGUGAGGCCUGGCUUCCCAGUGAGGGCGGCAGCCCAGUUACUGGGGACGUCAGCCCCGGGCAGGUCCUGUUGGCUGGCUCCUUGGGCUACCUGGUGGGCUUUAAAUUCCGGGAAAGUCACAGCUCUGACAGCGGCUCUGCUAACGCAUUCCACUGUCUCAUUUCACGAAAUGAAUUUAAAACUCUGCCCCCACGAUCUCACGCGAGCCCCCGUGAGUCUCUCACGCCCUCUGCUGUGUUCUCGCCUGGCUCAAGCGAGUGGCUUUUGAGGUGGAGUCUGAACCCCUGAUGGGAAACUGCAGGCUGCCCGCGGUGCCACCAUGCUGGAGGUACAGCCCCGUGGUGGAGGCCGGCUCAGACAUGGUCUUCCGGUGGACCAUCAACGACAAGCCGUCCCUGACCUUCCAGAACGUGGUCUUCAACGUCAUUUAUCAGAGCGCGGCAGUCUUCAAGCUCUCACUGACGGCCUCCAACCACGUGAGCAACGUCACCGUGAACUACAACGUCACCGUGGAGCGGAUGAACAGGAUGCAGGGCCUGCGGGUCUCCACAGUGCCGGCCGUGCUGUGCCCCAAUGCCACGCUGGCACUGACGGCGGGCGUGCUGGUGGACUCGGCCGUGGAGGUGGCCUUCCUGUGGACAUUUGGGGAUGGGGAGCAGGCCCUCCACCAGUUCCAGCCUCCGUACAACAAGUCCUUCCCGGUUCCAGACCCCUCGGUGGCCCAGGUGCUGGUGGAGCACAACGUCACGCACACCUACGCUGCCCCAG